rnacentral:lncRNA from 9 species
AACAGACUCUAAACUCUAGUAGGUGCCGAAAGAAAACUCUCCGUUGAGUUGGCUCCUUGGUUGAUGUUUUCUGCCACUUAGAAGCAAGUGUUUGGACAUACGGAUUUACAAGAUGAAAGGCUCGUGCCAAGCCUGGGGCCCCAAAUAUUGAGCAAGGCCAUAUUGCUUCAUAUGGUUGUUCUACGCAUUUCAGGAACUUCUGGGUGUUGUCUGAGGGCUGAAAUGAUGACUUGCCAGCCUCAUGUUCUCUUAGUGGUCACUAUCAGCAAACCCCACCUUUGAGCAUGUCAGGUGCAUGGUCCAGGGCUCGUGUUAAGUGUUAUGACAACUGGACGGCUGGAUGUGGUCUUACCCUGAAAAUGUCUAUGGGUCUUCCUUGGAGUUUCCAGGCAUCCCCAGAGAAACCUUUCUCCCCUACGCUUCCUUGGAUCUGUGGAAUUGUUUCCGUUUAUGCUUUGUCCCUUGGUCUGUCCCACGGUUGUAUAUAGUCCUGGCUACCUAUAAUUAUAUCUUCUACUGUGGAGCUUUGCCCUAUUCUGUCUUCACGGUUUCUUCGGGAAUUCCUUGAGCACAGAAUAUAGCUCUUCCCUUUUGCCAUCACAGAUGGACCAUAAGGCCGGCAUUGGCAGUCUACAAAAAGGAUUUCAGCCAUGGAUGAUCAGUAUUUAAAGAACGACAAACAGCUAACUAAUGGGAAGGAAUGAACUCUACGCUAAAAUUAUCCCCAGAUACCAGAGAGAUGAGGUUGAGGACAUAUAUUUUAAUUGAGGUUGAGGACAUAUAUUUUAAUUGAAAGAGGUAAUGACGACGGGAAGGAUAUGGCUCCUUCCCACUUCUAUCAAGAUCCUGAAUUUAUGAAAAAAGGCAAAUUAUAAAAGAAAUUGGUUUGUGGAAGUGUUCCUUUACAGUCGGAAGGAACUUUAAAAAUUACCUUGAGCAGCUUCCUGACCCCAUGGAUAAAGACCCAAGGCCUAGAGCAAUGGAAUAACUUGUUCAAGGUUCCUCUGGCCAGUGGCUGGAAGUUUUGUUGGGUAUUUAACAUGUAUCAGAUAUUAUUCUAGAUCCCACAUAAGCAGCCACAAAUGAAGUCAAGGUCAUUGCCCUCUUGGAGUUUAAACAUCAGUGGGGGAGGCAGAUAAUAACCGAUGAACAAGAACAUUUGAAACAGUGAUGAUGCUUUGGACAGUAUCAAAGGAGGGAUGUGACAGGGAGAUGGAAGAGGUUCUGAAGACAGGACAUGGGUGCCAAGGCCUCAGGGUAAGAAGUACCAGCCUGUAACGUGGUGUGAGUGAGUGCAUGGGGGCACCACAGCCCUGCCAGUGCCUCCCAAGAAAGCAGUUCAUCAUUUCCAGGGAGGAUUUGUCAUCUCCUUACAUGCUUUUCAGAAAGGACACUCAAGCAGCACUGUGACGUGGCCCAUGUAGAAAGAAACUGAGACCUCCUGCCAGUACCUGCACCCACAUUGCCAACCAUGCAAGUGAAUUAUCUCAAAGCAGAUGAUGGUAGUCUUGACUGACAUUUAACUGCAGCUCAUCAGAGACCCCAAUCCAGAACUGCCUGCACUACUGCUGAACUCCUGAUUCACAAGAACUGUGAGAGAAAAUACAUAUUAUUGUUUUAAGCCACGAAGUUUUAUAGUAAUUUGUUAUGCAACUCUAAAGUAAUAAGGAAUAUAGGUCUCUGCUCUAGUUCUUGCCAAUAUUUUGUCUUUGACCUGGUUCCUGACAGAGAGCCCUAAAUUGUUGAUAAUUUCCUGAGUGAUAGGAGCAUUUUUGUUAUAAUGAGAUGACUCCUGGUGGGCUUCUGCAUGGGGGCUGGUCACCAGAGAGACUAAGCCAUGAUCAAAAACUUUGAACUUUCAGCCCCACUCCUCAUUCUCCAGAGAGGCAAGAGAGCUAAAAAUGAAGUUAAUAAUUGAUCAUGCCUAUGUGAUGAAGCCUCUGUAAAAUUCCUAAAGUAUGGGAUGUGGAGAGCUUUUGGAGUUGUUGAACACAUCCAUGUGCCAGGAGGGUGGGGCACCCCAGCUCCAUAGAAGGCAACAGAAGCUCCUGUGCUCAGGAUCUUUCCAGACUUUGUCCCAUGUACUUCUUCAUCAGACUGAUAGUUUGUAUCUUUUAAAAUAUCCUAGAGUUCCCGUCAUGGCUUAGUGGUUAAUGAAUCUGACUAGUAUCCAUGAGGAUGCAGGUUUGAUGCCUGGCCUCGCUCAAUGGGUUAAAGAUCUGAUGUUGCCAUGAGCUGUGGUGUACGUCACAGGCAUGGCUCGGAUCCUGAGUUGCUGUGGCUGUGGUGUAGGCUGGCAGCUACAACUCUGGUUCAACCCCUCGCCUGGCAACCUUCAUAUGCUGUGGGGUGUGGCUCUAAAAAGACAAAAAAUGAUAUAUGUAUAUGUGUAUAUAUAUAUAUAUACAUAUAUAUCCUUUAUAAUAAAUCAGCAACACUAAAUAAUUUUCCUGCAUGCUGUGAGCUGCUCCAUUAAAUUUUUGAGCCAGAGGAUGUGGUUGUGGGAAGCUCUGAUUUAUAGCUGAGGUGGACAGAAAUUGUGAGUUCCCUGGGGACCCACAACUGGUGACUGGCAUAUAAGGCGGCGGGGGGCGGAUCUUGUGAGACUGGGCGCUUCACCUGUGGGGACUGGGCCAAUCUAGGCAGUUAGUACCAGGACUGCCUGGUAUGGAUAAGCCACACAUCUGGGGUCAGAAGUGUAAACACAGGAGUGUUGCCUAUUCAGCAACAAUAUGUAACAUACAUUCUUAAUAGAGGCAGUGGUUCUAAUACUUAUGCACUUUUGAUGUAGGAAGAAUGCCUCAGGAUACAUAGUAUUGGAUGACUUUGUUUCUUAUCGUCUACCAUGUUUUAAUAAACAUCAUGGAGAAAUACAGAAAACUAUUACUCUGAGUUUCUAAUGGACUAAUUGUUUAAAGUGUAUUCUAUCCAAUUCAGAGACAAUAAAGCAUCAGCGUGAAAAGCAUGGCCACUGGAACCAUGAAAACUAGCUUCUACUUUUUUUCUGGCUAUGUGGCCUUUGGCAUGUUAUUCAUCCAAGUCCCAGGUUUUUCACCUGUAAAAAUAUGCAGAACAAUCAAAAGUAUUGCACAGAGCUCUGACGGAAAGAAAUAUAAUAAUGCAUGUUCUUUGUACACUGCAUAGCUUGUAGUGAAUACUCAAUAAUGUCAGCUAUUACUGAGCUGCCAUCCAUAUUAAAAAUAUGUUGGUUCUGAUCACAUUUAAAAUGGAAAUUUGGUGAAUAAAGGAUAAACGC